rnacentral:rRNA from 1 species
UACGUAGGGGGCAAGCGUUGUCCGGAAUUAUUGGGCGUAAAGGGCUCGUAGGCGGUUUGUCACGUCGGGAGUGAAAACUCAGGGCUUAACCCUGAGCCUGCUUCCGAUACGGGCAGACUAGAGGUAUGCAGGGGAGAAUGGAAUUCCUGGUGUAGCGGUGAAAUGCGCAGAUAUCAGGAGGAACACCGGUGGCGAAGGCGGUUCUCUGGGCAUUACCUGACGCUGAGGAGCGAAAGUGUGGGGAGCGAACAGG